UACGGGGGGGGCAAGCGUUGUUCGGAAUUACUGGGCGUAAAGGGCUCGUAGGUGGCCAACUAAGUCAGAGGUGAAAUCCCUCGGCUUAACCGGGGAACUGCGUCUGAUACUGGAUGGCUUGAGGUUGGGAGAGGGAUGCGGAAUUCCAGGUGUAGCGGUGAAAUGCGUAGAUAUCUGGAGGAACACCGAUGGCGAAGGCGGCAUCCUGGGCCAAUUCUGACGCUGAGGAGCGAAAGCCAGGGGAGCAAACGGG
rnacentral:rRNA from 1 species